GGCAACUGAGAAGCAUGUUAAAUACAUAUUAUCCAUUGAAAAGAGAAAGGAUGAUUUUCAAUCUGUGGUGAUGGAACAUCUAAGAAUGAAUGGUGCAUACUGGGGGCUGACUGCACUGGAUAUUCUUGGAAAGCUCAACACUGUGGAUGCUGAUGAGGUUGUUUCAUGGGUAAUGUCAUGCCAACAUGAUUCAGGUGGUUUUUCUGGCAAUGUUGGACAUGAUCCACACAUACUUUACACCCUUAGUGCAGUGCAAGUCUUAGCACUUUUUGACAAGCUGGAUGUUCUAGAUGUUGAUAAGGUGACAAAUUAUGUUGUUGGCCUUCAAAAUGAAGAUGGCUCCUUUUC
rnacentral:misc_RNA from 1 species